UGGUCAAGUUAUUAAGGGUGCAGGGCGGAUGCCUUGGCACUAGGAGCCGAUGAAGGACGUGAUAAGCUGCGAUAAGCUUCGGGGAGUUGCACGUAAACUUUGAUCCGAAGAUUUCCGAAUGAGGAAACUCACUUAGAGUAAUGUCUAAGUAUCAUUAAGUGAAUACAUAGCUUAAUGAGGGGAACUCAGGGAACUGAAACAUCUAAGUACCUGAAGGAAGAGAAAGAAAUUCGAUUCCGUAAGUAGCGGCGAGCGAACGCGGAUUAGCCCAAACCAAUAAAGUUUUCUUUAUUGGGGUUGCGGACAUAUCAUAACGAAGAGGUAUCGUAAUUGAAGAGGUUUGGAAAGACCCACCACAGAAGGUAAUAGUCCUGUAUGUUAAACGAGAAUACUUUAGAUAUGAUCCAGAGUACCACGGGACACGUGAAACCCUGUGGGAAGCAG
rnacentral:rRNA from 1 species